AUUGAACGCUGGCGGCAGGCCUAACACAUGCAAGUCGAACGAGUGGCGGACGGGUGAGUAAUUUCUGGGAAACUGCCUGAUGGAGGGGGAUAACUACUGGAAACGGUAGCUAAUACCGCAUACCAUCAGAUGUGCCCAGAUGGGAUUAGCUUGUUGGGGGGGUAACGGCUCACCAAGGCGACGUUCCCUAGCUGGUCUGAGAGGAUGACCGGCCACACUGGAACUGAGACAAGGUCCAGACUCCAACGGGAGGGAGCAGUGGGGAAUAUUGCAAGAUAAGCGCAAACAGGAUGCAGCCAUUCGGCGUGUAUGGAGAAGGCCUUCGGGUUGUAAAGUACUUUCAGCGGGGAGGCGUUACCCGCAGAAGAAGCACCGGCUAACUCCGUGCCAGCAGCCGCGAUAAUUC
rnacentral:rRNA from 1 species